UGGGGAAUCUUCCGCAAUGGGGCGAAAGCCUGACGGAGCGACGCCGCGUGAGUGAAGAAGGUCUUCGGACCGUAAAGCUCUUUUGUUAUAGGCGAAAGGCCGGAGUAGGAAAUGACACCGGUAAGACGGUAUAUAACGAAUAAGCCACGGCUAACUACGUGCCAGCAGCCGCGGUAAUACGUAGGUGGCAAGCGUUGUCCGGAAUUAUUGGGCGUAAAGGGAGCGCAGGCGGAAGGACAAGCCGGAUUUGAAAGUUCGGGGCUCACCCCCGUGACGGAUCCGGAACUGUCCUCCUUGAGAGCGGGAGAAGGAAGCGGAAUUCCUGGUGUAGCGGUGAAAUGCGUAGAUAUCAGGAAGAACACCAGUGGCGAAAGCGGCUUCCCGGACCGAAUCUGACGC
rnacentral:rRNA from 1 species